rnacentral:rRNA from 1 species
GAUGAACGCUGGCGGCGUGCCUAAUACAUGCAAGUCGAGCGAACAGACGAGGAGCUUGCUCCUCUGACGUUAGCGGCGGACGGGUGAGUAACACGUGGAUAACCUACCUAUAAGACUGGGAUAACUUCGGGAAACCGGAGCUAAUACCGGAUAAUAUAUUGAACCGCAUGGUUCAAUAGUGAAAGACGGUUUUGCUGUCACUUAUAGAUGGAUCCGCGCCGCAUUAGCUAGUUGGUAAGGUAACGGCUUACCAAGGCAACGAUGCGUAGCCGACCUGGGAGGGUGAUCGGCCACACUGGAACUGAGACACGGUCCAGACUCCUACGGGAGGCAGCAGUAGGGAAUCUUCCGCAAUGGGCGAAAGCAUGACGGAGCAACGCCGCGUGAGUGAUGAAGGUCUUCGGAUCGUAAAACUCUGUUAUUAGGGAAGAACAAAUGUGUAAGUAACUAUGCACGUCUUGACGGUACCUAAUCAGAAAGCCACGGCUAACUACGUG